rnacentral:tRNA from 1 species
CCUUGGAUAGCUCAGUUGGUAGAGCGGUGGACUAUAGAUAGUGCAAUUUGAGUGUAGAAAUCAAUAUGUCGCUGGUUCAAAUCCUGCUCUAAGCA